AUGUGUUACAACUUUCGUUUUACAGUUAGUCCGGCGCCAUGAAAAUAUGCUUUGUUGUAACUACAAGACAUGCUUUGAUCCUACCAUCCAGUUAACACCAAAAAAUGAGAACUCAUAAAGAAGAUAAUGGAACCAGGAAGAUCCAUGGUGCUGCUCUUGGCAAACUUGGCACUGGGCAGGGCAGACUAUCCUCCAGGAUCUGAUAAAUGAAGAAAGGUGCUAUGAGCAACUUGCGAUUUGAGUUGAGACCCUUUAGGGCUAGAAGAGAAGAGAAAUCCUUUGUGAAAAUGGCACUUCAAGUGCCCAGAGUCUCUGGGUACCUCAGAAGCCAAACAGCAAACAUCUACAAGGACCUGGAUUUCUCUCUUCAUGCAAUUUUGUAAAAUCAAUACAAAGAGGAUUAAUCUAUGUGGCUGAAACAAUCAGUAUAUCAUGUCUCCUGAGCAUGAAGCCAAAGAAACAAGUGAGACUAUUUAGGGGUUCCAAAUAUUGGGGUUGUCAUGACAGGGAACUUGUAAUAAAUAAAACGUUAAGACUUA